AUCGAACGCUGGCGGCAGGCCUAACACAUGCAAGUCGAGCGGAAGAAGGGAGCUUGCUCCUGGAUUCAGAGGCGGACGGGUGUGUAAUGCCUAGGAAUAUGCCUGGUAGUGGGGGAUAACGUCCGGAAACGGGCGCUAAUACCGCAUACGUCCUGAGGGAGAAAGUGGGGGAUGUUCGGACCUCACGCUAUCAGAUGAACCUAGGUCGGUUUAGCUAGUUGGUGGGGUAAAGGCCUACCAAGGCGGCGAUUCGUAACUGGUCUGCGUGGAUGAUCAGUCACACUGGAGGUGAGACGCGGACAAUGGUCCUACGGGAGGCAGCAGUGGGGAAUGGUGGACAAUGGUCGAAAGCCUGAUCCAGCCAUGCCACGUGUGUGAAGAAGGUCUUCGGAUUGGAAAGAAGUUUAAGUUGUGGGGAAGGGCAGUAAGUUAAUACCUUGCUGUUGUGACGGUACCAACAGAAUAAGCACCGGCUAACUACGUG
rnacentral:rRNA from 1 species